rnacentral:rRNA from 1 species
AACGUAGGUGGCGAGCGUUAUCCGGAUUUACUGGGCGUAAAGCGUGCGCAGGCGGUUCGUUGUGUCUGAUGUGAAAGCCCCGGGCUUAACCUGGGAAUGGCAUUGGAAACUGGCGAGCUGGAGUGUGGCAGAGGGGGGUGGAAUUCCGCGUGUAGCAGUGAAAUGCGUAGAGAUGCGGAGGAACACCGAUGGCGAAGGCAGCCCCCUGGGCUGACACUGACGCUCAGGCACGAAAGCGUGGGGAGCAAACAGG